rnacentral:tRNA from 1 species
GAGAUUGUGGCGGAAUUGGUAGACGCGCUCGACUCAAAAUCGAGUUCCGCAAGGAGUGCUGGUUCGAUCCCGGCCAGGGGCACCA